UUUUGGACAAUGGGGGCAACCCUGAUCCAGCCAUGCCGCGUGAGUGAAGAAGGCCUUCGGGUUGUAAAGCUCUUUCGGACGGAACGAAAUGGGCGGGACUAAUACUCCUGUCUGAUGACGAUACCGUAAGAAGAAGCACCGGCUAACUACGUGCCAGCAGCCGCGGUAAUACGUAGGGUGCGAGCGUUAAUCGGAAUUACUGGGCGUAAAGCGUGCGCAGGCGGUUUCGUAAGCUGGAGGUGAAAUCCCCGGGCUUAACCUGGGAAUGGCCUUCAGGACUGCGAGGCUAGAGUGCGGCAGAGGGAGGUGGAAUUCCACGUGUAGCAGUGAAAUGCGUAGAGAUGUGGAGGAACACCGAUGGCGAAGGCAGCCUCCUGGGCCAGCACUGACGCUCAUGCACGAAA
rnacentral:rRNA from 1 species